rnacentral:rRNA from 1 species
AUUGAACGCUGGCGGAAUGCUUUACACAUGCAAGUCGAACGGCAGCACGGGGCAACCUGGUGGCGAGUGGCGAACGGGUGAGUAAUACAUCGGAACGUGCCCAAUCGUGGGGGAUAACGUAGCGAAAGUUACGCUAAUACCGCAUACGAUCUACGGAUGAAAGCGGGGGAUCGCAAGACCUCGCGCGAAUGGAGCGGCCGAUGUCAGAUAGGUAGUUGGUGGGGUAAAGGCUCACCAAGCCAACGAUCUGUAGCUGGUCUGAGAGGACGACCAGCCACACUGGGACUGAGACACGACCCAGACUCCUACGGAAGGCAGCAGUGGGGAAUUUUGGACAAUGGGCGCAAGCCUGAUCCAGCCAUUCCGCGUGCAGGAUGAAGGCCUUCGGGUUGUAAACUGCUUUUGUACGGAACGAAGCGGCUCUCUCUAAUACAGGGGGCUAAUGACGGUACCGUAAGAAUAAGCACCGGCUAACUACGUGCCAGCAGCCGCAGUAAUAC